UACGAAGGGGACUAGCGUUGUUCGGAAUUACUGGGCGUAAAGCGCACGUAGGCGGCUUUGUAAGUUAGAGGUGAAAGCCCGGGGCUCAACUCCGGAAUUGCCUUUAAGACUGCAUCGCUAGAAUUGUGGAGAGGUAAGUGGAAUUCCGAGUGUAGAGGUGAAAUUCGUAGAUAUUCGGAAGAACACCGGUGGCGAAGGCGGCCCACUGGAUCGGUACUGACGCUGAGGUGCGAAAGCGUGGGGAGCAAACAGG
rnacentral:rRNA from 1 species